rnacentral:lncRNA from 1 species
CAUCGGCACUGCCAACCGGUGGGGUGCAGCCCUGCUGAAGCCCCAGAGCUCAGCCCAGUGCUGGGCACAUAGUAGGCGCUCAGGAAAUGAUUGCUGAAUGUGGAAUGAAAGUCCCCAGCAGGCAAAAGGCUGUGACUUCUGUUAGUGGGGUGGUGGUCCUCUGGGGCGAGUGUAUGGAGAACUUCAAGGCCUCCUCCUGGCUGCCCAGGAAGUAGAGGGCGCCAAAGGCGACGUGCCGGCCGCCAGCUCCAGGCCGAGCCCCGAGCGCCUGCAGGAACACGCCCCUUCACCCGGCGCGGGACGCAGAGCUGCGAGAGAAUCUUGUUCAGCGCGGACUCAACGCCAGGGCGCCGCCUAGAGGUUGGUCUCUGUCUCGGCCUCACCCGCCGGGAGACCACAGAGCUGCUUCCCCAGCCGCCCGCCGCCAGAAAUUGGAAAAAAAAAAAAAAAAAAAAAAAAAAUCCAGCUGGGGUCUAGGAACUCGGCUUCUGGCACCUCUGAAUUCUCCGAGACUGUCUCCUCCCUCCCCGCCUGUAAUGAACCCUGUGAAGGGAGACAGGCCAGGAAGUCCCAGAAAUAUUUAUUCUUGUGACUCUCACAAAAUGGA